GACGAACGCUGGCGGCGUGCUUAACACAUGCAAGUCGAACGAAGUGGCGAACGGGUGAGUAACGCGUCAUCAACCUGCCCUUCAGAGGGGGACACCCGUUGAAAACGACUGCUAAUACCGCAUACUGACGGUGGAGAUUGCGUCGGAUUAGUUAGCUGGAGGGGUAACGGCCCACCAAGGUGAUGAUCAGUAGCCGGUCUGAGAGGAGGAACGGCCACAUGGGGACUGGGACACGGCCCAGACUCCUACGGGAGGCAGCAGUGGGGAAUCUUUCGAAAUGGACGAAAGUCUGACGGAGCAACGCCGCGGGAGUGAUGACGGCCUUCGGGUUGUAAAGCUCUGUUAAUCGGGACGCGGUACCGGAAUAGAAAGCCACGGCUAACUACGUGCCAGCAGCCGCGGUAAUUC
rnacentral:rRNA from 1 species